CACCUGGUUUCACGGUAUUGCAAUGAGAACAAUUUAAAACCCUUAGCGAGAAUCAAGUGGAGGACAAGUCUGGUGCCAGCACCCGCGGUAAUUCCAGCUCCACUAGCGUAUAUUAAAGUUGUUGCAGUUAAAAAGCUCGUAGUUGAACCUCUGUCUGGGGCUAGUUUUGGCUUUGGUCAGGCUAGUUCUAGGCAUCCGCCUACAAGACUUAGAGGGCAUUCAGUUGUUCACUAGGAGGAGUAGGCAUUUUACUUUGAAAAAAUUAGAGUGUUUAAGGCAGGCAAUCGCCCGCAUAUAUUAGCAUGGAAUAAUAGAAUAGGACACUUUUCCAUUUCGUUGGUUAUUGGAAUCGUGUAAUGAUUAAUAGGGACAGUUGUGGGCAUUUGUAUUUAAUUGUCAGAGGUGAAAUUCUUGGAUUUAUUAAAGACAAACUAACGCGAAAGCAUUUGCCAAGGAUGUUUUCAUUAAUCAAGAACGAAAGUUAGGGGAUCAAAGACGAUCAGAUACCGUCCUAGUCUUAACUAUAAACUAUUCCGACUCAAUGUUUGACUGGCUUAUAUAACCAGUUGAGCGUUGUAUGAGAAAUCAAAGUCUUUAGGUUCUGGGGGGAGUAUGGUUGCAAAGCUGAAACUUAAAGGAAUUGACGGAAGAGCACAACCAGGAGUGGAUUCUGCGGCUUAAUUUGACUCAACACGGGGAAACUUACCAGGUUAAAACAAUAGUGGGAUUGACAGUUUGAGAGCGCUUUCUUGAUUGGUUGGGUGGUGGUGCAUGGCCGUUCUUAGUUGGUGGAGUGAUUUGUCUGCUUAAUUGCGUUAACGAACGAGACCUUAACCUGCUUACUAGACUGGCGAUCAUCAAUCGUUAGCUCUUCUUAGAGGGACUUUGGUUGUUUUAACUCCAAGGAAGUUUGAGGCAAUAACAGGUCUGUGAUGCCCUUAGAUAUCCUGGGCCGCACGCGUCAUACAAUGACUAGUUCAGAAAGUUUUCUCCUGACCCGAAAGGGGAUGGGUAAUCUUGAUAAUACUAGUCGUGUUAGGGAUCGAUCUUUGCAAUUAUAGAUCUUGAACGAGGAAUUCCUAGUAAGUGCGGUUCAUCAGACCGUACUGAUUACGUCCCUGCUCUUUGUACACACCGCCCGUCGCUUCUACCGAGUGGGUGGUCCGGUGAGAUAAUUGAACUUCGCAGGUAACUGAGAGGAAAGAUUAUCAAACCUAUCCACCU
rnacentral:rRNA from 1 species